GUGCUGGCUUCGGCAGCACAUAAGCUAAAAUUGGAACCAUACAGAGAAGAUUAGCACAGCCCCUGCACAAUGUGUGACAUGCAAAUUUGUGAAGUAUUCUAUAUUUUU